rnacentral:rRNA from 1 species
UACGUAGGUGGCAAGCGUUGUCCGGAAUUAUUGGGCGUAAAGCGCGCGCAGGCGGUCCUUUAAGUCUGAUGUGAAAGCCCACGGCUCAACCGUGGAGGGUCAUUGGAAACUGGGGGACUUGAGUGCAGAAGAGGAAAGCGGAAUUCCACGUGUAGCGGUGAAAUGCGUAGAGAUGUGGAGGAACACCAGUGGCGAAGGCGG